GAUGAACGCUGGCGGCGUGCUUAACACAUGCAAGUCGAACGGUGAAGCAGAGCUUGCUCUGUGGAUCAGUGGCGAACGGGUGAGUAACACGUGAGCAACCUGCCCCUGACUCUGGGAUAAGCGCUGGAAACGGCGUCUAAUACUGGAUACGAGCUGCGACCGCAUGGUCAGCAGUUGGAAAGAUUUUUCGGUCUGGGAUGGGCUCGCGGCCUAUCAGCUUGUUGGUGAGGUAACGGCUCACCAAGGCGUCGACGGGUAGCCGGCCUGAGAGGGUGACCGGCCACACUGGGACUGAGACACGGCCCAGACUCCUACGGGAGGCAGCAGUGGGGAAUAUUGCACAAUGGGCGGAAGCCUGAUGCAGCAACGCCGCGUGAGGGACGACGGCCUUCGGGUUGUAAACCUCUUUUAGCAGGGAAGAAGCGAAAGUGACGGUACCUGCAGAAAAAGCGCCGGCUAACUACGUGCCAGCAGCCGCGGUAAUACGUAGGGCGCAAGCGUUAUCCGGAAUUAUUGGGCGUAAAGAGCUCGUAGGCGGUUUGUCGCGUCUGCUGUGAAAACCCGAGGCUCAACCUCGGGCCUGCAGUGGGUACGGGCAGACUAGAGUGCGGUAGGGGAGAUUGGAAUUCCUGGUGUAGCGGUGGAAUGCGCAGAUAUCAGGAGGAACACCGAUGGCGAAGGCAGAUCUCUGGGCCGUAACUGACGCUGAGGAGCGAAAGGGUGGGGAGCAAACAGGCUUAGAUACCCUGGUAGUCCACCCCGUAAACGUUGGGAACUAGUUGUGGGGUCCAUUCCACGGAUUCCGUGACGCAGCUAACGCAUUAAGUUCCCCGCCUGGGGAGUACGGCCGCAAGGCUAAAACUCAAAGGAAUUGACGGGGACCCGCACAAGCGGCGGAGCAUGCGGAUUAAUUCGAUGCAACGCGAAGAACCUUACCAAGGCUUGACAUACACGAGAACGCUGCAGAAAUGUAGAACUCUUUGGACACUCGUGAACAGGUGGUGCAUGGUUGUCGUCAGCUCGUGUCGUGAGAUGUUGGGUUAAGUCCCGCAACGAGCGCAACCCUCGUUCUAUGUUGCCAGCACGUAAUGGUGGGAACUCAUGGGAUACUGCCGGGGUCAACUCGGAGGAAGGUGGGGAUGACGUCAAAUCAUCAUGCCCCUUAUGUCUUGGGCUUCACGCAUGCUACAAUGGCCGGUACAAAGGGCUGCAAUACCGCGAGGUGGAGCGAAUCCCAAAAAGCCGGUCCCAGUUCGGAUUGAGGUCUGCAACUCGACCUCAUGAAGUCGGAGUCGCUAGUAAUCGCAGAUCAGCAACGCUGCGGUGAAUACGUUCCCGGGUCUUGUACACACCGCCCGUCAAGUCAUGAAAGUCGGUAACACCUGAAGCCGGUGGCCUAACCCUUGUGGAGGGAGCCGUCGAAGGUGGGAUCGGUAAUUAGGACU
rnacentral:rRNA from 1 species